rnacentral:rRNA from 1 species
AGAGUUUGAUCCUGGCUCAGAUUGAACGCUGGCGGAAUGCUUUACACAUGCAAGUCGAACGGCAGCACGGGAGCUUGCUCCUGGUGGCGAGUGGCGAACGGGUGAGUAAUACAUCGGAACAUGCCUAGUCGUGGGGGAUACCGUAGCGAAAGUUACGUUAAUACCGCAUACGUCCUGAGGGAGAAAGCAGGGGAUUCGCAAGAACCUUGCGCGAUUAGAGUGGCCGAUGCCUGAUUAGCUAGUUGGUGAGGUAAUGGCUCACCAAGGCGACGAUCAGUAGCGGGUCUGAGAGGAUGAUCCGCCACACUGGAACUGAGACACGGUCCAGACUCCUACGGGAGGCAGCAGUGGGGAAUUUUGGACAAUGGGGGCAACCCUGAUCCAGCCAUUCCGCGUGAGUGAAGAAGGCCUUCGGGUUGUAAAGCUCUUUCAGCGGGAACGAAACGGUGCGCUCUAACAUAGCGUAUUAAUGACGGUACCCGCAGAAGAAGCACCGGCUAACUACGUACCAGCAGCCGCGGUAAUACGUAGGGUGCGAGCGUUAAUCGGAAUUACUGGGCGUAAAGCGUGCGCAGGCGGCUUUUUAAGCCAGACGUGAAAUCCCCGGGCUUAACCUGGGAAUGGCGUUUGGAACUGGAAGGCUAGAGUGUGUCAGAGGGGGGUAGAAUUCCACGUGUAGCAGUGAAAUGCGUAGAGAUGUGGAGGAAUACCGAUGGCGAAGGCAGCCCCCUGGGAUAACACUGACGCUCAUGUACGAAAGCGUGGGUAGCAAACAGGAUUAGAUACCCUGGUAGUCG